CGAGCGGGUUCUCGCCGUGCCUUUCCUGCCCUUGCCCGCCCCGCUGCGGGUGCCCCCUCCUCUCCGCCUCAGCCCCCCUGCCGCUGCCCUGCCCGCCCCACGGACUCACAGGCGGUCCCUGUCAACUCCCCUCGGUUCCUCCGCGGAGAGGGGGACAGGCAGGCGGCUCUGAAAUGUUGAUGGAAGUGGGUGGGAGACACGAAGGGCCGGUCGCUGUGAGCGCACCCGCUGAUUCCAGGAGUGUGUUCAUGCGGCACCUGCGAGGGGUCGGACACCUGCCGGGGGUGGGGGCCUUGUAGGGGGCGGUAGACGAGGGGUGGAAGCAGGUAAGACUGCGGCCCUUGGGGACCCGCCCUUGUAGUCGCUAAAGAGGGACGCCGCAGGCCUUGCCUUUCACGGGUCAGCCCUGUGUAUUCAGCAUCUCUGUGGGUGUGCCUUGAGUUCUCCCCGCCCUGGGCCCUGACUUCUGCUGGGCACUGUAUGGAGGGGCUGGGUGGAGAGAGCGGGGGACAAGAGUCAAGGUUAACUAGCCCCAGCCUUCAAGAAGCUCUAAGCCCAGUGGAGAGUAAGAUGGGAAAACCCCUCGUUAUAUUGGAAGCCGGUAAGUGCUGUGGCGGAGGCGUGACUCUGCGGGCCCAGAGCACGCAAUGUGAGCCGGCCUGGGCUUUCUGUGGAGAGGGAGAACAGAGCCAUUUACUGAGAAGGGUGGGAAAGCUUAACGAACAGCACAGCCAUUUCACUGUCCAGCGCAGCCUAGGGGCCGGCCUUGCUGCCCUGUGCAAACACCAGUGGUGGGAGGUGUCUGGUUAAACCCAGGACGCCCAGGUACAUUUGAAUUACAGAGAAGCAAGCAAACGGGGGCGAGAUGGUCUUGGUUUCAGGGAUCCCAAAUAUUGCAUAGCAUGUACUUAGGCUAAAAGUAAUCGUUGCUUACAUGAAAUUCAAAUGUAACUGGGUGGCCUGUACUUUUAUUUUCUAAGUCUGGGAACUUUGGGGAGCCAGGCGUGGGAAUGGGAACAUAGUCUGCGAAGAGCUCAGGGUCAGGGGGCAUUGACUAGAGUCCCCAGACUGACGCUCCCCCUAGAAGGAAACUGUCUCCACAGCAUCUUGGAGCCCUGGAGAAAGUGGCGUUGGUGUCCAGCCUGGCGUCUCCCGGAGCCUGCGCGAUAAAGGAGGGGCAGCCCCCAUUGCAGGAGGGUAGGACUAGAGGAAGUAAGAUGAGUCCCACCCAAGGAGUAAAGGCCUGAAAGCCAGAGGCUUCGUGGAGAAAUUCCUAGCAGAGGCUCCGACCUCCCCGCCAGGCCCGUUGUCUUGAGGACCCCAAGAAGCUGUGCAGUUUCUCAUUUUCCUCCGCAGGGCUGGGGGCAGGGUAGGGGGCACCUCAGGGCUCCCAGGGUGCGGUGUGGCCCCCAGGGACUGCGGCAGCUCUCGAAACCCCCCGAGAAGCACUGUAGAUGGAGAAAAGGGGGGAUCUGGGCUCAUCAGUGGGCACCGAUCUUGUCUCAGUGUGGGUCGUAUGGGGCCAAGGACACACUAAGUGUACCCAGUCCACAUAAAACUAGAACUUAAUUUGGCCUAGAAUCAGUAUGCAAAUGGGGAGAAAUUGCAAACUAGCAAUGAUUUUUGUUUGCUUUUUCACAAGUUAGAAGCAUUUUAGAGGGGGAUGUUUGUUUGUUUGUUUGUUUAUCUUUUUAGGGCUGCACCUGUGGCAUAUGGAGGUUCCCCAGUUAGGGGUCCAAUUGGAGCUGCAGCUGCCAGCCUUCGCCACAGCCACAGCAACGUGGGAUACAAGCCGAGUUUGAGACCUACGCUGCCACUUGAGGCAACUCGGGAUCCUUGACCCACUGAGUGAGGCCAAGGAUCGAACCUGCAUCCUUGUGGAUACAAAGUCAGGUUAUUAACCCGAGCCACAACAGGAGCUCCAGGGGGAACUUUGAUUUUAAAGGUCUAGAUUGCUCCUGAAACAGGCACACACGGACACCCAGAAUGGUGGGACAGUGCCUUCAAGGAAUCAGAGGCCUUGGGAAGUCGCCUGUCCGUGUCUUAGAGAGCCUAGAAGUCCAAAAUCAAGGUGUCAGCAGGGUCGCCCUUUCUCUGAAGGUUCUGGAAGAUGACCCUUCCAGGGCUCUCCUGGCUUCUGGCGGCCUCAGCCUGUGGUGUUCCCUUAGCUUGUGCCCGCAUUACCCACCCUCUGCCUCCCUCUCCCUGUGGCUUCCAAGACCCUGUUUCCAGGUACCUGACAUAGCUGGAAUCAUACAGUACUUGUCCUUCCGUGCCUGACUUCUUUCACAUAGCAUGAUGUUCUCAGCAUUCAUCUGCGUUGUAGCAGGUACUGGAAUUCCCUUCCUUUUUCCAGGGGUCCACCUAACACCUGGCAAAAUAGAGCCUGCUGGCCAGCGGGGCCUAAGGAGGCCUCCACUCAACCCUGCGUUCCACGGGAAACCGGAAGGAAAACAGCAGUAGCGCCCUGGUCUACACGUGAACACAGGAUCCGGUCACCGGCGGUUCCCAGGGAGAAGGUGGGGAAAACUGCGUGUCCCUGGGGCCCACAGUGUCAGCUCUGUCUGUCCAGGCUCAGCUUCCAAGCCGCCUCCAGCCAGGGACAUGCACCUGCCUCCUGCGGAGAGUUUAAUGCGUUUGGGCAGCUGUAUCCAGUCCCGUAAUCCCCACCACGAGCAAAGCCCAGAACGUCCAUCCCCCGCCCAAACUGCCCUCUUUGCCCCUUCCAACACCCGUGGCCCCCGUCAGCCACAAAUCUGCUUUCUGUCCCUACAGUUUUGCCUUUCCCCACAUGUAAUAUAAAGGGAAUUGUAUAAUAUG